AGUCUUGUCAGUACGACCUCUGUCACUUUAAAUCCAAAUAAGCUGCUGCAGCCCACGCCCCCCAACUCGAUGUUUAUACUAGCAUGUGAAUAUGGCUGCGUGCACAUGUGCAAUU